AUUUCAAAAUGUCGGCGCUAACGUUUAAUUUACCACCAGUGUACUUCAGAUGAAGACACAAAAAAUGACGAUCUCAGUUAUCAGCCAGCCUGACAACGUUACCUCACUGUUUUUGACGGUCUGCAUCGAGAAGCGGACUGUAUGAAUGAACGCUACCUGGUAAUCAGCUACUGGUGCUGUUUCCAUGGUGACCAGAUUUCACAACCUGCUAGCUCUUAGCUAGCUGUUGUACUUACAUCGAUGGCUCUGUUACUGGUUUCAAAAGCAAUGUCAUCUGAACCCCGGAGUUCCGGGCAAUAUGAUUCUACAUUUAAAAAUGCGACAGCUGCUACCCAUGGCGCCCCUCUGCAGCUGAGAUUUGACAGUCUGACACUGGAGGAACUGAGUGAGGAGCUUGACCGGCGCACCAAAGAAACUCAGCGACUGCAGGAUGAAGUGGAAAAUGCAACCAGAGCAGCCUUGGAGAGGUUUCGCUGCACAACUGGCAUCAACAGCUUAUCGGAACAAAGCUACCAUGAUGAUGACUCACUUGGAAAUUCAACCCACCAGCCAGGCACCACUGAACCUACGGUCUGUCUGCAGGAUAGUUUAAGCCAGGUGGUAGCUCAAAGAGAUACUAGCUCUCCUGGAGAGAAGACACCAAGAAGUCAAGAACUUGUUAACCUGCAGACUAAGCUGCAAAAAGUCCAGAUGGAGAAGGACACCCUGUCUGAUCUGAGAUUGAAGGAUUCGACGAAACAUGUUGAUCAAAUGGAAAAGAUGCUGUGUCUGCUGGAAGAGCUCCAGGACAUUAAAAGGUCUGCUGACAAGAGACUGCAGGAGACGGAGGAUGAGGCGCUGGCACUCAAUGGGAAAGUACAAACACUUGAGCAGACAAUAAAGGAGUUGUACCAUACACUGUAUGAGAAACAAUGUGGACACAACCCUGUUACUAAAAGUCCAACAAGCCCAACACAGCUGUCUCUGGCUCCUGCAGUAAAUGAGGAUCUCAACGAUGAAACUGGCCAGCUACAGGAGAGAUGUUCUUUGGUGAGUAUGUGUUAGUAAAGGUACAUCAUCACAACGUUUACUCUGUGCCCUCUCUAAA
ensembl:lncRNA